CCAAUAGCGUAUAUUAAAGUUGUUGCAGUUAAAAAGCUCGUAGUUGAAUUUUGGAUUCUUCCAAUUGGUCCGUCUUUUAGAUGAGUACUGGUUGUGUGGGGUCUAUCCGCCUGGUGAUACGUAAUGUCCUUUAUUGGAUGUUGCGGGUAGUCAGGACCUUUACCUUGAAAAAAUUAGAGUGUUUAAAGCAGGCUUAUGCCGGAAUACAUUAGCAUGGAAUAAUAGAAUAGGACGAAGUUGUUUUAUUUUGUUGGUUUCUAGGACAACCGUAAUGAUUAAUAGGGAUAGUUGGGGGCAUUAGUAUUCAAUUGUCAGAGGUGAAAUUCUUGGAUUUAUUGAAGACUAACUACUGCGAAAGCAUUUGCCAAGGAUGUUUUCAUUAAUCAAGAACGAAAGUUAGGGGAUCGAAGACGAUCAGAUACCGUCGUAGUCUUAACCAUAAACUAUGCCGACUAGGGAUCGGGCGAUGUUGUUUCCAUGACUCGCUCGGCACCUUAUG
rnacentral:rRNA from 1 species